rnacentral:rRNA from 1 species
UACAGAGGGUGCAAGCGUUAAUCGGAGUUACUGGGCGUAAAGGGCGCGUAGGCGGUGAUAUAGGUGUGAUGUGAAAGCCCUGGGCUUAACCUAGGAAGCGCAUCGCAAACGAUAUGACUGGAGUACAAGAGAGGGUGGCGGAAUUUCCGGUGUAGCGGUGAAAUGCGUAGAUAUCGGGAGGAACACCAGUGGCGAAGGCGGCUUUCUGGCCUGUUCUUGACGCUGAGGCGCGAAAGCUAGGGGAGCAAACGGG